rnacentral:rRNA from 1 species
UCAAAAACAUGGCUUUUUGAUAAUAAUUUAAAGUCAGGCCUGCCCACUGAUGGUUAAAGGGCCGCGGUAAUUUGACCGUGCUAAGGUAGCAUAAUCAUUAGUUUCUUAAUUAGAAGCUAGAAUGAAUGGUUUAAUGAAAAAAUAACUGUCUCUAUUUAAUUUGAUUAGAAUUUUAUUUUUAAGUUAAAAAGCUUAAAUAAUUUUAAAAGACGAGAAGACCCUAUAGAGUUUAAUAUUUUAUUAAUAUUUUUAUAUUGGAAUAUAGAUUAUUUUAUUAAGAAGAAUAUUUGGUUGGGGUGAUUAAAAAAUUUAAUAAACUUUUUUUAUUUAAAUUCAUUAAUUUGUGAUUAAUUGAUCCAUUAUUAGUGAUUAUAAGAAAAAAUUACCUUAGGGAUAACAGCGUAAUUAUUUUUGAGAGUUCUUAUCGAAAAAAUAGAUUGCGACCUCGAUGUUGGAUUAAAAUUAAUUUUUGGUGUAGUCGUUAAAAAAUUAGGUCUGUUCGACCUUUAAAAUUUUACAUGAUCUGA